rnacentral:rRNA from 1 species
CAGCGCCACAAGUGGCAUACACAUUUAUUGGGCCUAAAGCGUCCGUAGCCGGUCAGGUAAAUCCUUUGUGAAAUCAUAGAGCUUAACUCUAUGGCGUGCAGAGGACACUGCUUGACUUGGAACCGGGAGGGGUCAGAGGUAUUCUGGGGGAGCGGUAAAAUGCUAUAAUCCCCAGAGGACCACCUGUGGCGAAGGCGUCUGACUAGAACGGAUUCGACGGUGAGGGACGAAGGCCAGGGGAGCGAACCGGAUUAGAUACCCGAGUAGUCC